UACGUAGGGGGCUAGCGUUGUCCGGAAUCAUUGGGCGUAAAGAGCGUGUAGGCGGCUCGAUAAGUCCGCUGUGAAAGUCCAGGGCUCAACCCUGGGAUGCCGGUGGAUACUGUCGGGCUAGAGUGCGGAAGAGGCGAGUGGAAUUCCUGGUGUAGCGGUGAAAUGCGCAGAUAUCAGGAGGAACACCGAUUGCGAAGGCAGCUCGCUGGGACGUAACUGACGCUGAGACGCGAAAGCGUGGGGAGCAAACAGG
rnacentral:rRNA from 1 species